AUGGUGGCUCUCCCACACAGCUCCGGGGAGGCCCAGGAGUAUGACAUUAUAAUUCAGUACUGGACAGAGAGAUAAGGGUUAAUCAAGUGCUUAGAGCAUGGUGCAGAGAGUGGGAUAAAAGUGUCCACUGUUCGAAUAACCAUAAUGAUUCAGCUUGUUCUUGUUUUACCGUUAUUGCUUUAAACUACGGGACACACAACUCCACCAUCUCUUCUCGACUGGUGCAAACUGGCAGAAGAAAAGGGCAAUUUGCUCUGGGGCGAUGCCACCCGAUGGUGGUGUGACCCAAAUGCAAGCUCCGCGUCAGCAGGGCCUUCGCCAGCCCCGCUCCCCCUGCACUGCGUCUGUGAUGGCACCAUGGCCAGGCACACGAGGCUGGGAUUUUCAGGCUGGGAGCCUUCAUGUCUCCCUCCUCCCCUUCCAUUCCACACCUGGGCGAGCGGAUGAGCAAGCCUGGGUGCUCCCUCCUUUGGGGUCUGCAUCCACAAGACUCAAACCAUGCGUGGUGUUGGCCCAUGUGGCAGAACCCUCAGCCCAGCCCCACCCCCAACUACGAUGAAACACCUGGCCAGUCUCCUGUCCUCACUCUCAAGGCAUCUCAGAGCUGCAUGGGAGGCCUGCCUGCUCUCCGCAGAGCCCGCCAUUACGAAGGAGUCCCCUCCCACUGUCCUAGCGCUGAGACGACCCAGUCCCUGGCCGCCCAUGGACACAGCGUACCUUCAUAGAGAAUGCCCUGGUCGUCCCUGGUCUGGAGGAACUCCAGCUUCCACUGUCGCCCACUCUUGUCUGUCAGCACUGUCCCUGUGGGCAACGCUUCAAGUGAGGUGGUCACCCGGCUCCGCUUCAGCGUCUGAGGGCUCCGCUUCAGCGUCUGAGGGCUCUGCCUGGUCUUCUGAGGGCUGCAGCUGGUCUUCUGAGGGCUCUGCUUGGUCUUCUGAGGGCUGCAGCUGGUCUUCUGAGGGCUCUUCCUGGUCUUCUGAGGGCUGCUUUUGGGGGUUGGGGGUCUGCUCCCGGAGCCUGCAGGAGGAUGGUAAGAAUAAAGCAAAAGCACCAUCCAGGAGAGAAAAGUUGGAUGGGGAGUGAAACAGCAUGAACUACUGUUCCUUUAUGAAUUCGUUCAUUCAACAAACACUUCCUUGGACCUUCUAUGAGUCAGGCCUUUGAGUGAUGACAUUGGGGUACAAGAUAGAAAUCGGACCUGCAUCCUUC